ensembl:lncRNA
UUUUAUACUAUGUAUUUUUUAUUAGCUAAGUAAUAAAUGGCAAAUGCAACUUUCGUAUAUACGGGCUCACUGUAAUACCACGCAGGGCAGAACAGAGAACUGACAGGAUGUACGUAGACAGUGUUCUUAUACACAUUAUGAUAGACAUAGUUCCAACCCGUCUGUUGGCCUAUCACAGUAGAGACUGGGCGUGGUUUAAACUUGCCCAGCCUAUCGCAGGCGCUCAGGCUGGUCCCCGCCUCUUGGCGCUUCUUCCUCCCUCCGUCGAUGUAUAGAUCCUUACUGUUCUGGUAUCGCAGCCUAGUUAGAACAGUUGCUCAGUUCCUGCUAUUGUGUUGUUCAGUAUUUUUCCAUCUCAGUUAAACCUCGUGAUGACCACCCCUCCCUAUCACAACUUUGUAAGUUACAGCAAGUCACACCAUGUGCUCAAUAUUGUUACAUACAAACACAAGGACAAAGCAUCUGCUGGGCUGUUAUCUACAGUUUUGCAACAUGCAGGUCACACCAUGUUACUCAGUUCUUGUCACACACAAACAGGCAAGUAGCAAGCAGUUGUUUAAUCUCAUAAUGAUGCUCCAGUGCACAAAUGCAGACACCUCACACAACCAACAUCAGAUCAUAUUUAAUCCUAUAUAUGCUAAUGGCUAUAAUGUAAAAUACAGAAUCCAACAAAGGUCAGGCAAGAGAGAACAAUAAGGGCGAACAGAAAUACAGAAACCCGCGAUGGACCAAACCAAAAUAUACAACACUUUUACAAUCAAGUGUAUUUAUUAUAUAGAUAUGAAAAAGUGUUUGUACACCAAAAAAUAACAUUAUCUAUGCAGCUGUAAUUAAAUAAAAAAACACACUGAAUUAUUAUUAUUAUCAAACUAAUUAACAUCCCCUCUUGACCUAUUUGAACUGGUCCUUGUGUGCAACUUGGUGUGUAAUCUAGUGGAACAACAUCACACUGCUACACACACAUCAUGAGAACAAUGCAGUUUAAAGACAUUCACCUUUGGAUAAAAGUGUCCUAUAUCAGUCUACAAGGUUUUCAUUGGAAUCCAUUAGAGAGUCACAUGAUGACUGGGACCCUGUGAAUAAACCUGCAAUUCAAAAUGGUUGGUUUGCAGUAUGUUUGGCUUGGAGUCUUACAUCAACAGUUAUCUAUCUGCUGUGGUGAUGACAGUAAUACCCAGGAUGUAGAACACAGUUAUCUAGCUGCUGUGGUGAUGACAUUAAUACCCAGGAUGUAAAACACAGUUAUCUAGCUGCUGUGGUGAUGACAGUAAUACCCAGGAUGUAGAACACAGUUAUCUAUCUGCUGUGGUGAUGACAGUAAUACCCAGGAUGUAGAACACAGUUAUUUAGCUGCUGUGGUGAUGACAGUAAUACCCAGGAUGUAGAACACAGUUAUCUAGCUGCUGUGGUGAUGACAUUAAUACCCAGGAUGUAAAACACAGUUAUCUAGCUGCUGUGGUGAUGACAGUAAUACCCAGGAUGUAGAACACAGUUAUCUAUCUGCUGUGGUGAUGACAGUAAUACCCAGGAUGUAGAACACAGUUAUUUAGCUGCUGUGGUGAUGACAGUAAUACCCAGGAUGUAGAACACAGUUAUCUAGCUGCUGUGGUGAUGACAGUAAUACCCAGGAUGUAGAACACAGUUAUCUGCUGUGGUGAUGACAGUAAUACCCAGGAUGUAGAACACAGGACAUAGAGGUAGUAUUUUGUCAGGUCUUAUCUAUUCAGAUUCCCCAAUGUCCCCCUUUCUGAGAACAUUCACCAACGAAAGGCUGAACCUCACAAAGUAGUCGCUCUUUGAAGGAUAAAUAUACAUUAUAAAUAUAUCUCUCAUGGGUUUCAUAAAAUGUGUUUUAUUUCCUCAGGUACUUUUCCAUACUGAAUAUGAAUAUGUUCACACACUUGUUAAUAUGGUUGAUGAUGUCAAUCAGUUUCUAACAUGGUUGAUGGAGACCCACCUUUCCCACGGUCCUAUCAAUGAAAUGUCCUGUUUCAUGUAGAAGCCCCAUCUGACUUCAGAUUGGUUCAUAGGAUCAUACUGAAGUAACCUGGAAACACAUGAGUUGAUAUCAUUCUCCUCACUCCUCUAGAGGAGGGCUGGAUGGGGGACAACUUCAACCUGAAAACAAACACAUAUUGUCCACAUACCCUCUCGGGUUGUACAACCCAUUUAACACAACAGUUGUGUCAAAUGCUUUUUAUAUCAAUGGUACAACCUGAGUGAGUACAGGAACAUGAAGGGAAAAAAGACACUGAGUUUUCAGGCUGUAAUUUCAAUAAGCUGGAGAUGUAUGAAGUCAUAUUGGGUGGUGGUGACAUAUGACUUACUUCUCUUUUAGUUCCUAGAGGAGCAGAGGACCUCAACAACCUCCUAGAGGAGCAUAGGGCCUCAACAAC